CGCGUCUAUGCAGUUCACACCAUCUAGGGUGGAGUACUACUUUCAUUCCAAGUAUAGGCUUCAUCUCUGUCCGUGUCUGUAUCCGUCUCGUCUGCCUCGUCUCCGAUGACGGUACGCGGCAUACAACCACCAUCCAUCCCUCGCCUGUUAGGUCGCGCCCUCCAUCCCUUGACUCAUGUGACUGCUAUAGUGCUCAGCUCACAAGCUAUGACAUACAAAGGUAGUAGAAAGCACAGCCCAAAUCCGAAUGUGCAUGUUGCUGUGGAUUUCCAUCUCAACUUCACAUACGUGUUAGCAGGUUGGGAAGGAUCACCCAUGAUGCUAUUUUUUUUUUCUGACAACAUGGUUCGACCUGAUGGGAUCAAUAUCCCCGAUGCUAAGUUCUACCUAGUAGAUGCUCGAUAUGCAUGUCGGCAUGGGGUUCUUCCAUCGUUCAGGAAAAUCAGGUAUCAUCUCAACGAGUUCUCUUCUAGAAACCAUCCUAAGGCUGCCAAGGAAUUGCUAAAUCUCAAACACUCUAGCCUGUGAGUUGCGGUCGAUAAGGUAUUUGGCGCUCUAAAGAAUAGAUUUCACAUCCUUGAUCAAAAGCCAUCUCACCAUUUUUCCGCUCAAGUUAAGCUUUUUCUUGCUUGUUGCAUUCUUCAUAAUUGAAUCCUAUAGUGGGCUCUUCAUGAGUACAUGCUGGAGGAGAAAGAUGUGACAGUUGACGACAUUGAAUCUGACCGUGGUGUGAUGCCACAUGACACUGAAACUUGAAAGACACAAAGGUUAGAGUGAGCUGAGGCAAUGUGGGCUAACAAAGCAACACAAGGCUCAAAAGAAGAACAAGAAGAGGAAGAAGAAAAAUAACACGGUGAACUUCCCCAUUCAUCGCCAUUGAUGAAUCUCCCCCCUGCAGCCAUAUGACCGUUCAUUUGUAUUGCCAUUUGUUAGUAGCCAGGACAAAGAACCAUUUGUUUAGUAGUGAGUGAAACGAUGUUAUUUUCGUAUUGGAUGAUGUUUAUCUGACACCGUCUAUGACAUGUAAUGUGUGGUAAUAUCACCACUAUUGAGAAUGAGUGUCCACAAUAUUAGGCCG
rnacentral:rRNA from 1 species